GACGAACGCUGGCGGCGUGCUUAACACAUGCAAGUCGAACGGAAAGGUCCUGCUUAUGUGGGGUGCUAGAGUGGCCACCGGGUGAGUAACCCGUGAGUAACUUGCCUCUGACCUUGGGAUAAUUUCAGGAAACUGGGGCUAAUACCGGAUAGGAGCUCCCGCUGCAUGGUGGGGGUUGGUAAGUUUCGGUGGUUGGGGAUGGACCCGCCGCCUAUUGGCUUGUUGGUGGGGUAGUGGCUUACCAAGGCUUUGAACGGUAGCCGGCCUGAGAGGGUGACCGGCCACAUUGGGACUGAGAUACGACCCAGACUCGUACGGAAGGCAGCAGUGGGGAAGGUUACACAAUGAGCGGGAGCCUGAUGCAGCAACGCCGCGUGCGGGAUGACGUCCUUCGGGUUGUAAAGCGCUUUCGCCUGUGACGAAGCGUGAGUGACGGUAAUGGGAAAAGAAGCACCGGCUAACUACGUG
rnacentral:rRNA from 1 species